rnacentral:rRNA from 1 species
GGCUCAGGAUGAACGCUAGCGGCAGGCUUAAUACAUGCAAGUCGUGGGGCAGCAUGAGUAGCAAUACUUGAUGGCGACCGGCAAACGGGUGAGGAACACGUACACAACCUUCCUUCAAGCGGGGAAUAGCCCAGAGAAAUUUGGAUUAAUACCCCAUAAUAUAUUUGAUAAGGCAUCUUAUUAAUAUUUAAAGCUUCGGCACUUGAUGAUGGGUGUGCGGCUGAUUAGAUAGUUGGCGGGGUAACGGCCCACCAAGUCUACGAUCAGUAGCUGAUGUGAGGGCAUGAUCAGCCACACGGGCACUGAGACACGGGCCCGACUCCUACGGGAGGCAGCAGUAAGGAAUAUUGGACAAUGGACGAAAGUCUGAUCCAGCCAUGCCCGCGUGAAGGAUUAAGGUUCUCUGGAUUGUAAACUUCUUUUAUAUGGGACGAAAAAAGGGCAUUCUUGUUCACUUGACGGUACCAUAUGAAUAAGCACCGGCUAACUCCGUG